rnacentral:lncRNA from 1 species
GGAUACAGAAAAACAGCAAAUACAAAUCAUGGAUGAAAUUUAUAAGAUCACUUCCACAGAAAGGGUCCAGCUGUUGGAGAAAAAACUGGCUGUGCAACUGACUGAACUGAAGUCUGAGAUAGAAGAGCAGGGAGCUCUUCAGGGAACAGCUAAUCGAGUUUACAGCUCUAUUCAAAUGCCAAAGGAUAUUUAUUACUUUAGAAGAGAGAGGGAACUAGCACUGAAGAAAACCUUACAGGUGGCCGAGUCGAAGCCCCUUGUUGUUCAGGCAGAUGCCGUGCAGAGGGAGCUAGAGAGCUGCCUAAGAAGGGAGUACACCCCUGAAAAUUUACCUUUGCUUCUGUUGCAGUAUUACACAGAGAGAAUUGCCCAGCUGGCCCAGAGUAAAUAUUUACACAUGCUUAGGUGGAAGAGGUUUUGCCAACACAGUAAGAUCAUGGAGCAACUUUAUCCUCUUUACAAGAAACAAGUUGGCUACAUUAUGCAGGAGUACAAUGACACCCUUCAGAGAGCUGAAAGAUUGUCUGUUGCUCGAGAAAACUUCCUCAUGGGAAAAAACAAUCCUCCUAACUUGGUGACACAGGAAGAUCUGACUAUUUACACAAAGUGGUUAGUGUGCCACCUGCACUCUCUUGGGACUGUUCACCAGUACCUGCAGGCCCUCCAGUAUUUGCCCAUCUCCAAAGUGCUGAGUGUAGCUUUCAACCGAGUCGCUGAAGCUGGUCAGAAAAAUGAAAAUGUCUGUGUCAAUGACAUUGACCCUGACAUUCAGGGUUCUGCAUCUCCUGACCCUGUGGAUACCAGCAUUUCUGGGCCAAUGAGAACAGAAGCUGCUUUUGUCCUCCCCCAACAUGCAACAGAAACAGGAGAACUGAAACCUCAGCUGAAGCUCCUGCUCUCCCAUUUCAGUAUCCCAUAUGACGUAGAAGAGCUCUGGGACUCUGCUAAGGAAAUGGAACUUUUUUCCUUGCACUGUCUCCAGCAGAGUGUUUCUGUGGGAGUGUCCUCCCCUUAUUAUCAUCAAGGAUUAUGAUAGGCAAAACACAGAAUCAGAAUAUGAUGGUGUUUAAGAAGAACCAAAAUAAAUGUUUCCCAAAAAUUUCAAAGCGUCUUCAUGGAGCAACAGAGAUUGCAAAUGUUUCCAGACUGUGAAGCUGGAAUAGCUAAAGCAGAUAAUUUGGGUUUGGCAGGACCCAGAAUGACCCUGAAAAAGAAAGCCAACUGGAUUUCCUUCAUAAAGAUCAAGCCAAAAUGUGAUCCAUGGCAAAAGAAGCUUUUGACUAAAUUAAAAGAACGGAGAAGAACAGAUGCAUUAUUGCAACUCCAAGCAAAGUUUUUGAAGAUUUCCAACCCUGAGUGAGUAAUGCAAGUGCUCCAAGAUCACGCUGCAAAGACAGUCAUGCUGGCUCCACAUCAGCCAUCGUUUGUGGCUUCCCAAGGUUUGCAUCAGGGCAAUUAUGACCAAGUCUGGGAGAAUAUUGACAACAACAUCAACCUCUGUCAGAAUAAAAAUAUGAAAGAUGAUGACCUCUCCAUGAAACAAAAUGAAAAUGAUCUAUCACAGAUAACUCUCAGCCAACAUGCUGAUGGGCCUCUCAAGCAGAUACAAGAGACAGGGUACAACUAUGCAAUGACCCUACAACUGCUGGGCUUGGAAGACGGCACUGACCCCAGUGAUAGGAAUCCUGUUCUGAUGAGAGGGGCCUACUUGUCCUUUCUGUAUCUGUGCCACCUUCGAAUCAGAGAACUGCAGCACAUCUGCUUAGGAAUUCUGAAUUAUUUCAGAUCUGUUGAGCGAACCCUGACAAUCAAUACUUCGGGCCUUACCUUGGUUUCAGGGAAACUGGUCCCCACCAUGGAAGAUAGUUCCUGGGUAAAUAUGGCAAAAGGAGGUCUGGGCACCUUGCAGGGCCUGGGCGCUCACCACUAUGUCCGUGAGACACCUGCUGAGCACAAGGUCCACAGCGUCCAAUUCAUGGAGUUCUCGGAAGUGGAGAACCAGGAUGACUACUACAGCACA